AACGAACGCUGGCGGCAUGCCUAACACAUGCAAGUCGAACGAGACCUUCGGGUCUAGUGGCGCACGGGUGCGUAACGCGUGGGAACCUGCCCUUAGGUUCGGAAUAACUCCCCGAAAGGGGUGCUAAUACCGGAUAAUGUCUUCGGCCCAAAGAUUUAUCGCCUUUGGAUGGGCCCGCGUUGGAUUAGCUAGUUGGUAGGGUAAAAGCCUACCAAGGCGACGAUCCAUAGCUGGUCUGAGAGGAUGAUCAGCCACACUGGGACUGAGACACGGCCCAGAAUCCUACGGGAGGCAGCAGUGGGGAAUAUUGGAAAAUGGGCGAAAGCAUGAUCCAGCAAUGACGCGUGAGUGAUGAAGGCAUUAGGGUUGUAAAGCUCUUUUACCCGGGAUGAUAAUGACAGUACCGGGAGAAUAAGCGCCGGCUAACUCCGUG
rnacentral:rRNA from 1 species